GAUGAACGCUAGCGGCAGGCCUAACACAUGCGAGUCGAGGGGUAACUAGAGUGAUAGCAAUAUUACUUUGGCUAGACCGGCGCACGGGUGCGUAACACGUAUGCAACCUACCUUAUACUGGGGAAUAACUUCGAGAAAUCGGCGCUAAUACCCCAUAACAUUGCGAAGAGGCAUCUCUUUGCAAUUAAAGCUCCGGCGGUAUAAGAUGGGCAUGCGUCCAAUUAGCUAGUUGGUGAGGUAAUGGCUCACCAAGGCUACGAUUGGUAGGGGUUCUGAGAUGAUGAUCCCCCACACUGGUACUGAGACACGGACCAGACUCCUACGGGAGGCAGCAGUGAGGAAUAUUGCGCAAUGGACGAAAGUCUGACGCAGCCAUGCCGCGUGCAGGAUGACGGCCCUAUGGGUUGUAAACUGCUUUUGUACGGGAAUAAACCCUUCUACGUGUAGGAGGCUGAAGGUACCGUAAGAAUAAGCACCGGCUAACUCCGUGCCAGCCGCCGCCGUAAAAC
rnacentral:rRNA from 1 species